CAGGGAGUGGUGCUUUCUUGCAGGUUUGCCGAGUGGAAGGUGCGACGUGCUCGUCGUGUGCUCCGGAUGGCAGUCGUGAGUCACUCAACUGAUGAGGGGUGAAUUCCCCGAAACACCGUGUAUUGAGCAGGGAGUGGUGCUUUCUUGCAGGUUUGCCGAGUGGAAGGUGCGACGUGCUCGUCGUGUGCUCCGGAUGGCAGUCGUGAGUCACUCAACUGAUGAGGGGUGAAUUCCCCGAAACACCGUGUAUUGAGCAGGGAGUGGUGCUUUCUUGCAGGUUUGCCGAGUGGAAGGUGCGACGUGCUC